AUGCAGACAGGCUCAGGAUGUGUCCAUAUGAAGGAGACUAAGGAAGCACGGCAACUAAAUGUGGGAUCCUGGAGGAGAAAAAAGAUGUCAGAGGGGCAACGUCUUUGGGGUCAGCUGAUGAACGUGGAUAGGUCAUUUUUGUUGCUAUUUUAUACCUUUUUCAUAGUUCUGGUCCUGCCUUUAGAAACAACAGCCUUCAUCACUGCACUGAGAUGCAGGGAACCAGCAGCACAGCCAGGACCCUCCACGGCCGCUCUCUGCCUCUCCUUGUGCACGAGAUCAGCCAAAUACUCUUGUAAAUGUUCUUGCGGUCUGUGAUCCAGGCAGCUCUCAUGCUUUCCGGUGACUUCUUUGGAUCGGGUCUGAUAGAGGAAGAAACUAAGGUGAGGCACUGCUGUCAUAUUAGGGAAUUCGUACAGCGUGGUGGUGAGCGCUGUGCUGCUGGAGACAGUCUCCCUGACUUUGAACCUGGCUCUAUCACUUCCUAUGCGAUCUUUGAGGUCACUGAACUUCUCUGUUCCACAGUUUCCUUAUCUGUAAAAUGGGUUAAUAAUAGAACCUACCUCCUAUGGUUAUGAGAACAAAAUGAAUUGAUUUGUAAAUCGCUUAGAACACAUCCUGGCGCAGACUCAGCGCCAGCCACAGUUUGGUCCUGCUGGGUAGGUGCUUUGAAGCUUGAUACUGUUUCCAUAUACUUUGCUUUUCUAAAAACGUGAACAUUUCAAAGCGCUCUUCACUCCAAUGACUAACUUUACCGGAGCCUUCCUCGGCCACUUUUCUAAGUGAGACACGCCUCCUAGAGGCCUCAGUGAAGUUUAUUCCAGCUCCUGAAAACCCUACAGACCGGUCGGACAGCGGGCGAGGCUCGGACCCGCCGCUUCUGAGUCUGCAGUCCGAGGUCCACUCUGUCCCCGGCGCUCUCCGUUUCUUCGACAGCUCCUGCUGCUUCCCUCGGAGCCUGAUCUCUUCUGAUUCCUGUAACCCCGGAACGAUUUCUGCAUGUGUGCAUUCAUUCAUUCUAGUUCAUUCCAGAUAGUUUGCUGGGUGCCUACCAUGCGCGAGGACUGCAGGGGGGAGAGGGAAGUGGGCUGAAGGUAAAGUCCGUCCUCAUACGGCUCGCUGUCCUAGAGAAAAAACAAAAUAUGUAUUGUACAUAGAUGGGCGAACUAACGAGGAUCUUUUAGUUUCUGUUUUCUCGUCUGUAAAAUGGGGGUAAUACGUCCCACCUUAUAGGGCCGCUGAAAGAUUAAGCAAGCAAAAACAGAGUCCCUAAUACUAAGCCGGGUGCAACAAAGGCCUAUUCUCAGUCCAUUCCCUC
rnacentral:lncRNA from 1 species